GGGGGCUGGGCUGCGCCUGCGCGCGUCCGCAUGUGCGCGCGUGUGUGUGCGCGCGCCGAGCAAAGAUGGAGAGGAGGUCCCAGCCCCCGGGGCGCGGUGUUGCGCACGCGGGGGAGCUGGGCCGGGGAUAUGCGCACGUGUGCGCACGCGGCGGACAGGGACUAGGGGUGCACGUGCGUAUAUAAGCACCUGGGGAGGGGGACAGAAGCUGAGGAGGUGUGCACCUGUGCAUGUACACGGGUGUGUGUGCAUCCGGGGAAUGGGGGGUAGGAGUGUGUAUACACGUGUGGGCACAUGAGGAACAGGGGCAAAGUGUGCAGGUUUCCACCCGGCCGCGGACGGUUUCCCAAUUUAACCGCUUUUAUGCUGAUCACGCCCACUCUGCUUCUCCAGUAAAGCCCCUCCCGGCCUAAGACUGUUCACACCUUAGCGCUGGUUUCUUGAAGGGAGCAGAGAUAUUCGCGUUCUUUCUCUUCAGUACGCGGCACUCAGAGAAACCGGGAUCCAGGAGGAAGAGGGAUGCAGAAAUUGCCAGGCAGGGGAUUGAACCCACACCACAGCCGCAACCCGAGCCACUGCGGUGACAACACAAAUCCUUAAGCUGCUGAGCCACAGGACUCCAGGAUUAGUCAAUCUUAAGGACUCACAUGACUACUUACAGGCUGAAGCCACAGUCCUUUGAGAAGCUCCCCUUGGACCCGACAGCUUCUAGAAGAUCACGGCACCCAGUCUCCCCAGAUGUCUCCUUCCGGCCUCGUUUGCUACUUGAGCGCCCGUCUCUGCUCUUCCUCCGAAACGCCCACCUUGGCCAGGAGAGUAAUUCCUUUCAUCCCCUGACCACCAACCCUGCCGUCCAGCGCGGUGUCCUUCUGGGUGAUUUCAUGUUGCUGAGAUGACAUCGGGCUGUUUUUUAUGGAACCCCACAACGGAAGGUCCGAGGUCCUUCUCCUCGUGUCAUUUCCCUCCUCAGUAGAACCCAUGACCAUCGGCCAGGAGGGAAAGUGCCAGGAGCCAACAGCACGAUUUUGGGAAACUUGAUUUUAUGUUCAACCGAAUGCCUCUGCUCACGUCCCUACUGCUGUCCCCUUACCUCGCCGAGUCAGAGAAGGGCCCUGCAGCUUACCCACUGCAAUGAGGCUGGGGUGACCUCGGGAGGUCAAUGAGCUCGGAUGAGUGAUCUCAGCUCCUCUCUGGCUCAGAUUUCUUUAGCUGAGAAAUAAGAAAAUAAAAAAUAAAGUUC